UGAGCCCUUCCGGCCUCCUACACCGGGGUGCCCGCUCAGCUCUUGGUGUGGCCAAGUUGCUCCCCCAGGACCUCCCUGAGAAGCAGGGACACGCUGAGUCCUCUGGCAGCUUCGUGGGAUCCCGUCCCCUAGAGCUUUUGCUGAUUGGCCCAGGCCUCCACGGGGAAAGCCACACUUAGCGAUGCUGAUAGGGAUACCUGUCUCUGGCCCUUGGCUGUCGGCCAGGAGCGUGCCGUUCCUCUGGAAAUGACCCACUCAGUGGUUUCUCUGGUUCACUAGCGCUGUGUGAUCAGAACAAGGUCAGGCCAUUAGGGGCACCUCCAGGAACAGGCUCUGGAGAACGAAGAAGAGCUUGAGGAAGCCGCCCCACUGCCCACAGGAGGGAGAGGAGGCCUGGGGAAGCUCAGCUCUGCAGCCAUGAGACUCCUCCACGUGGCCCUCACCGCGGCCUUCAUGGUCCUGCAGACGGCACCAGGGCAUUCAAUUUUGAAAGACCCUGCUACCUUCGUGGUGGGAUCUGCCUGAAGCAAGGGACACCAAACUGUGAGCCCUUCCGAGGCCCCUGCCGGGCGU